rnacentral:tRNA from 9 species
UGGUUGGUAGCUCAGUUGGUAGUAGCACUAGUCUCCAAAACUAGGUGUCGUGAGUUCGAAUCUCACCCAAUCAG